rnacentral:rRNA from 1 species
AAACGACUCUCGGCAACGGAUAUCUCGGCUCUCGCAUCGAUGAAGAACGUAGCGAAAUGCGAUACUUGGUGUGAAUUGCAGAAUCCCGUGAACCAUCGAGUCUUUGAACGCAAGUUGCGCCCGAAGCCUUUAGGCUCGAGGGCACGCCUGCCUGGGCGUCACG